CGACAGAUAGAUACCCGGUAGUCACGCUAAAGAUGAGUGUAAGUGUUAGAGGGUUUCCGCCCUUAGUGCGCAGCAAGCAUAAGCACUCGCUGGGGAGUCGGCGCAAGGUGAAACUCAAAGGAAUGACGGGGGCCGCCAAGCGGUGGAGCAUGUGGUUUAAUUGAAGCAACGCGAAGAACCUACCAGGUCUUGACAUUCCUGACAACCCUAGAGAUAGGGCGUUCCCUUGGGGGACAGGAUGACAGGUGGUGCAUGGUUGUCGUCAGCUCGUGUCGUGAGAUGUUGGGUUAAGUCCCGCAACGAGCGCAACCCUUGAUCUUAGUUGCCAGCAUUCAGUUGGGCACUCUAAGGUGACUGCCGGUGACAAACCGGAGGAAGGUGGGGAUGACGUCAAAUCAUCAUGCCCCUUAUGACCUGGGCUACACACGUGCUACAAUGGAUGGUACAAAGGGCUGCGAGACCGCGAGGUUAAGCGAAUCCCAUAAAACCAUUCUCAGUUCGGAUUGCAGGCUGCAACUCGCCUGCAGAAGCCGGAAUCGCUGUCGGCAGCAGCGGU
rnacentral:rRNA from 2 species